UACGGAGGAUCCAAGCGUUAUCCGGAUUUAUUGGGUUUAAAGGGUGCGUAGGCGGCCUAUUAAGUCAGGGGUGAAAGACGGUAGCUUAACUAUCGCAGUGCCUUUGAUACUGAAGAGCUUGAAUAUAGUUGAGGUAGGCGGAAUGUGACAAGUAGCGGUGAAAUGCAUAGAUAUGUCACAGAACACCAAUUGCGAAGGCAGCUUACUAAGCUAUGAUUGACGCUGAGGCACGAAAGCGUGGGGAUCAAACAGG
rnacentral:rRNA from 1 species